UACGUAGGGGGCUAGCGUUGUCCGGAAUCAUUGGGCGUAAAGCGCGUGUAGGCGGUUUGGUAAGUCCGCUGUGAAAGUCGGGGGCUCAACCCUCGAAUGCCGGUGGAUACUGUCGGACUAGAGUCCGGAAGAGGCGAGUGGAACUCCUGGUGUAGCGGUGAAAUGCGCAGAUAUCAGGAGGAACACCAAUGGCGAAGGCAGCUCGCUGGGACGGUACUGACGCUGAGACGCGAAAGCGUGGGGAGCAAACAGG
rnacentral:rRNA from 1 species